AACGAACGCUGGCGGCAGGCCUAACACAUGCAAGUCGAGCGAGGACUUCGGUUCUAGCGCGGACGGGUGAGUAACGCGUGGGAAUGUGCCCUUCUCUACGGAAUAGCCCUGGGAAACUGGGAGUAAUACCGUAUACGCCCUAUUGGGGAAAGAUUUAUCGGAGAAGGAUCAGCCCGCGUUGGAUUAGGUAGUUGGUGGGGUAAUGGCCUACCAAGCCGACGAUCCAUAGCUGGUUUGAGAGGAUGAUCAGCCACACUGGGACUGAGACACGGCCCAGACUCCUACGGGAGGCAGCAGUGGGGAAUCUUAGACAAUGGGGGCAACCCUGAUCUAGCCAUGCCGCGUGAGUGAUGAAGGCCUUAGGGUUGUAAAGCUCUUUCAGCUGGGAAGAUAAUGACGGUACCAGCAGAAGAAGCCCCGGCUAACUCCGUG
rnacentral:rRNA from 1 species